UACGGGGGGGGCAAGCGUUGUUCGGAAUUACUGGGCGUAAAGGGCUCGUAGGCGGCCAACUAAGUCAGACGUGAAAUCCCUCGGCUUAACCGGGGAACUGCGUCUGAUACUGGAUGGCUUGAGUGUGGGAGAGGGAUGCGGAAUUCCAGGUGUAGCGGUGAAAUGCGUAGAGAUUAGGAAGAACACCAGUGGCGAAGGCGACUUACUGGACCGUAACUGACGCUGAGGCAUGAAAAGCGUGGGGAGCAAACAGGG
rnacentral:rRNA from 1 species